UACGUAGGGUGCGAGCGUUGUCCGGAAUUAUUGGGCGUAAAGGGCUCGUAGGCGGUCUGUCACGUCGGGAGUGAAAACUCAGGGCUUAACCCUGAGCCUGCUUCCGAUACGGGCAGACUAGAGGUAUGCAGGGGAGAACGGAAUUCCUGGUGUAGCGGUGAAAUGCGCAGAUAUCAGGAGGAACACCGGUGGCGAAGGCGGUUCUCUGGGCAUUACCUGACGCUGAGGAGCGAAAGUGUGGGG
rnacentral:rRNA from 1 species